CUGCAAGGUCACAUCAGAACAUCACCUACCCAAGUGGCCUUGAAGGACAGGGAACCACCUCCAUGUGAACCAGUGCUGCCGUCAUAAUGAUUCUGUUGGUUGUAGAAGAUCUUAGUAAAGCGAAUGGGACCAAGAAGACCUAGAAGGACAAGGAAAGACAUCAUCUCCGUCAUCUCUGCUUCCUCACUCUCCACGGCCUGGCAGGCUCCUAUAAGUUCAUCUCCAGCCUUAGUUUUCAAAGCCUUUAUGGGUGAAUUAAAAGAUGAAUGAGCAGACUGAUGAUGGAUAUUUAGAACUCUCGAGCUAGAUACUACAUCCUUGUUCGUUGUUCUCUGGUUGACAUGUGAACGAUUUGCUCUGGUAGAAGCUCAGAUUUGUUAGAGGUCAGUUGGGUCAGUAGAUGUUCUGAAUAUGAUUUAUCCACUUAUUCAUUCAUCUAUUCAUUCCUUCAUCCCAUGCCUUUCCAUAUGCCCCAAAGCACAGCAGAUUUCCA
rnacentral:lncRNA from 1 species